GUUUACGGUAUUAUAUAUCACAUAUUUAACAAUAAACACAUUAUUUUUUAUAUUAUAUUACAUUAACAUAUAUACAACAUGGAGCACAUAUAAAGUCUUUAAAUGACAGUACAUUGUGUUUGUAAUUAUAAUUAAUAUAAUUACUUGUGUCAAAAGUAAGAAAUGAAGUGAACAAAUCCAUAUAUAUUUGUUGAAAAAUUCUUGCAGUGGGUAUCUUCCUUUUGCUUUUCAUGCUUCACACUGUGUAUCUUUGAACAUUUAAUCAGCAACUAAUUAUAGGCAAGGAUAUAUUUACUAGCUCAUUUCUCCAUAUUACCAGGUACAUAACAUGCAAUAUAUCAACCUUGCAAUCCAUGCUUUAACCCCUGCAGUUGCCCCCUCUCCUGCAGCAUGUUUGGGAAGGGAGAGGAAGGAAUGGAGGUACUGUAAUAUCUAUAUUUAGCUCCCUUCUCUUCAAGCUCCUCUCCAAU